rnacentral:rRNA from 1 species
AGUGAACGCUGGCGGUAGGCCUAACACAUGCAAGUCGAACGGCAGCACAGGAGAGCUUGCUCUCUGGGUGGCGAGUGGCGGACGGGUGAGGAAUACAUCGGAAUCUACCUUUUCGAGGGGGAUAACGUAGGCAAACUUACGCUAAUACCGCAUACGACCUUCGGGUGAAAGCAGUGGACCUUCUGGCCUUGCGCGGAUAGAUUAGCCGAUGUCGGAUUAGCUAGUUGGCGGGGUAAAGGCGGACCAAGGCGACGAUCCGUAGCUGGUCGGAGAGGAUGAUCAGCCACACUGGAACUGAGGAACGGUCCAGACUCCUACGGGAGGCAGCAGUGGGGAAUAUUGGACAAUGGGCGCAAGCCGGAUCCAGCCAUACCGCGUGGGUGAAGAGGGCCUUCGGGUUGUAAAGCCCUUUUGUUGGGAAAGAAAAGCAGCCAGUUAAUAACUGGUUGUUCUGACGGUACCCAAAGAAUAAGCACCGGCUAACUUCGUGCCAGCAGCCGCGGUAAGAC